rnacentral:lncRNA from 1 species
CUGAUUAAGAGAGUUUUAUUCACAUACAAAAUAAGAAAUACACUCACAGAACUAUUAACCCAUUUGUAUUUAUGGGGUUCUUCUUCGUUCUCAACGAAGUCAUGCAUUUUGAUCACUUAUCAAAAUGCAUGUUCCAACUCGAAAAUAUUUACCAUUGCCAUAAGAGAAAAUAUCUCGUUAUGAUCAAUACCAUAAUGUUGAUAAUAUCCUUAGGCAACC